rnacentral:rRNA from 1 species
CAGAGCGAACGCUGGCGGCAGGCCUAACACAUGCAAGUCGAGCGCCCCGCAAGGGGAGCGGCAGACGGGAGAGUAACACGUGGGAACGUACCCUUCGGUUCGGAACAACCCAGGGAAACUUGGGCUAAUACCGGAUACGUCCGAAAGGAGAAAGAUUUAUCGCCGAGGGAUCGGCCCGCGUCUGAUUAGCUAGUUGGUGGGGUAACGGCCCACCAAGGCGACGAUCAGUAGCUGGUCUGAGAGGAUGAUCAGCCUCACUGGGACUGAGACACGGCCCAGACUCCUACGGGAGGCAGCAGUGGGGAAUAUUGGACAAUGGGCGCAAGCCCUGAUCCAGCCAUGCCGCGUGGGUGAUGAAGGCCCUAGGGUUGUAAAGCCCUUUCGGCGGGGAAGAUAAUGACGGUACCCGCAGAAGAAGCCCCGGCUAACUUCGUGCCAGCCGCCGC